GUGCUCCCUCGGGCAGCAUGUGUACUAAAAUUGGAAUGAUACAGAAGAUUAGCAUGGCCCCUGCACAAGGAUGACAUGUCAAUUCAUGAAGCCAUCAGGCAUAAG